CUUUACCAGAUCGUGGAAGCACAGCAGUUCCUGGCACAUCUGCGGUCAGUGGCACUUCUCAAGGGCCCGUGUCUACAGUGACAUCAGGAUUAGUUGGAGACCGAAGAAUAUCACUAGGUGCAGGAGCUGGUUGUGCUGGCCUUGCUGCUCAACUUGAACAAUGUUACCGUCAAGCGAGAGAAGCUGUUAGGGCAAACAAUGGUAUUAAGGUCCUCCUGCAGCUCCUCCAGCCACGG
rnacentral:misc_RNA from 1 species